AACGAACGCUGGCGGCAGGCUUAACACAUGCAAGUCGAGCGCCCCGCAAGGGGCGCGGCAGACGGGUGAGUAACGCGUGGGAACGUACCUUUUGGUUCGGAACAACUCCGGGAAACUGGAGCUAAUACCGGAUAAGCCCUAACGGGGAAAGAUUUAUCGCCUAAGGAUCGGCCCGCGUCUGAUUAGCUAGUUGGUGAGGUAACGGCUCACCAAGGCGACGAUCAGUAGCUGGUCUGAGAGGAUGAGCAGCCACACUGGGACUGAGACACGGCCCAGACUCCUACGGGAGGCAGGAGUGGGGAAUAUAGGAAAAUGGGCGCAAGCCUGAUCCAGCCAUGCCGCGUGAGUGAUGAAGGCCUUAGGGUUGUAAAGCUCUUUUGUCCGGGAAGAUAAUGACUGUACCGGAAGAAUAAGCCCCGGCUAACUUCGUG
rnacentral:rRNA from 1 species